rnacentral:rRNA from 1 species
AAAUUGAAGAGUUUGAUCAUGGCUCAGAUUGAACGCUGGCGGCAGGCCUAACACAUGCAAGUCGAACGGUAACAGGAAGCAGCUUGCUGCUUCGCUGACGAGUGGCGGACGGGUGAGUAAUGUCUGGGAAACUGCCUGAUGGAGGGGGAUAACUACUGGAAACGGUAGCUAAUACCGCAUAACGUCGCAAGACCAAAGAGGGGGACCUUCGGGCCUCUUGCCAUCGGAUGUGCCCAGAUGGGAUUAGCUUGUUGGUGGGGUAACGGCUCACCAAGGCGACGAUCCCUAGCUGGUCUGAGAGGAUGACCAGCCACACUGGAACUGAGACACGGUCCAGACUCCUACGGGAGGCAGCAGUGGGGAAUAUUGCACAAUGGGCGCAAGCCUGAUGCAGCCAUGCCGCGUGUAUGAAGAAGGCCUUCGGGUUGUAAAGUACUUUCAGCGGGGAGGAAGGGAGUAAAGUUAAUACCUUUGCUCAUUGACGUUACCCGCAGAAGAAGCACCGGCUAACUCCGUGCCAGCAGCCGCGGUAAUACGGAGGG